AUUGAACGCUGGCGGCAGGCUUAACACAUGCAAGUCGAGCGAGCGGCGGACGGGUGAGUAAUGUCUGGGAAACUGCCUGAUGGAGGGGGAUAACUACUGGAAACGGUAGCUAAUAACGCAUACUAUCUGUUGUGCCCAGCUGGGAUUAGCUAUUGGGUGGGGUAAUGGCUCACAUAGGCGACGAUCCCUAGCUGGUCUGAGAGGAUGACCGGCCACACGGGAACUGAGACACGGCCAAGACUCCUACGGGAGGCAGCAGUGGGGAAUAUUGCACAAUGGGCGAAAGCCGGAUGCAGCCAUGCCGCGGGUGUGAAGAAGGCCUUCGGGUUGUAAAGCACUUUCAGCGAGGAGGCGUUACUCGCAGAAGAAGCACCGGCUAACUCCGUGCCAGCAGCCGCGGUAAUUC
rnacentral:rRNA from 1 species